rnacentral:rRNA from 1 species
CCUACUCCUACGGGAGGCAGCAGUGGGGAAUAUUGCACAAUGGGCGGAAGCCUGAUGCAGCGACGCCGCGUGAGGGAUGACGGCCUUCGGGUUGUAAACCUCUUUCAGUAGGGAAGAAGCGAAAGUGACGGUACCUGCAGAAGAAGCGCCGGCUAACUACGUGCCAGCAGCCGCGGUAAUACGUAGGGCGCAAGCGUUAUCCGGAAUUAUUGGGCGUAAAGAGCUCGUAGGCGGUUUGUCGCGUCUGCCGUGAAAGUCCGGGGCUCAACUCCGGAUCUGCGGUGGGUACGGGCAGACUAGAGUGAUGUAGGGGAGACUGGAAUUCCUGGUGUAGCGGUGAAAUGCGCAGAUAUCAGGAGGAACACCGAUGGCGAAGGCAGGUCUCUGGGCAUUAACUGACGCUGAGGAGCGAAAGCAUGGGGAGCGAACAGGAUUAGAUACCCUGGUAGUCCAUGCCGUAAACGUUGGGCACUAGGUGUGGGGGACAUUCCACGUUUUCCGCGCCGUAGCUAACGCAUUAAGUGCCCCGCCUGGGGAGUACGGCCGCAAGGCUAAAACUCAAAGGAAUUGACGGGGGCCCGCACAAGCGGCGGAGCAUGCGGAUUAAUUCGAUGCAACGCGAAGAACCUUACCAAGGCUUGACAUGAACCGGUAAGAGCCUGAAAUCAG